GGGCCCGCACAAGCGGUGGAGCAUGUGGUUUAAUUCGAUGCAACGCGAAAAACCUUACCAGGCCUUGACAUCCUGAGAAUUCGGUAGAGAUACCUUAGUGCCUUCGGGAACUCAGUGACAGGUGUUGCAUGGCUGUCGUCAGCUCGUGUCGUGAGAUGUUGGGUUAAGUCCCGUAACGAGCGCAACCCUUAUCCUUAUUUGCCAGCACUUCGGGUGGGAACUUUAAGGAGACUGCCGGUGACAAACCGGAGGAAGGAGAGGAUGAUGUCAAGUCAUCAUGGCCCUUAUGUCUGGGGCUACACACGUACUACAAUGGCAUUUACAGAGGGCAGCAAUACGGCAACGUGGAGCCAAUCCCAAAAGAAUGCCUCAGUUCGGAUUGGAGUCUGCAACUCGACUCCAUGAAGUUGGAAUCGCUAGUAA
rnacentral:rRNA from 1 species